UGCUGGGACUUAAAUGAAACAUUGAUGGCUUACCAGGAAGUUAUUUUUGUACCCCUAUCCUUUGAAGAUACUUCACAAGAGAGAGGCCUUGUUUUCUGUUUACAAGAAAAUAAGGAAGUGAACACAACUCCACCUUUUGGGUAAAGAUUCUCCCUUUCUCACCCAAAAGGCUUAGCCAACUUCUUUGAUGCAUGCACAAGAUGAGUGUUUGAGAGAAUAUUUAAUGUGACGUGUUUACUUGGUGCUUCAAUUUGUCUUGCACAUUGAUCUCAUAAUGAUGCUCAAGAAAGAGAUGAACUGCUAGUCAAAGCAUGUGAAAAUGCAGUUUCAACAUGCAACAAUGCAAUCCCUGUUGCUCACGAUAUGAAAUGCGGACACCCCAGCCAGUGAGAUGUGAAUUCAAAGUUAGCUGCCCUCACACAGCUGCUCAGUUUAAUAAUCGACCCAUUUGACAGCAGUACCAGUUUAUGCUACAUAUUUCAAAGUACCUUACUUUAAAAGAACAGCUUACAUAUCUACAUUUAGAAAAUAAUUUUUGUAUUUUGAUUACGGGAGUACUUCCAAAAGGGUUCUUGGAGUGCUAUGGUUAUUGUCCCCUCACUCCCCCCUCCCAGCCCCUGAGAGAUCCAGAAAUUUACAGGAAAAAUAACUCUCACAUUAAGGGAAAAAUGACAACCCCUCCAUUAACUAAAAUAUUUGGAAAUAAUGUUUGAAAAUCACGUUUAUGUCAAUAUCUAGGUGAUAUGGUUUGUUUUCCUUCAAAAGGGCUACAGGCCUGGGGGAAACCUCUACAUAUCGGGGAUAAAAAUAGUAAUAAAGGCAAAGUGGUUUGGACAAGUUAAAGUAUUGCCUGCAGUUACAAAGCUUUGUUGUUCUAUCUUUGUAUAUUUGUACAAAUAUAACCAUUCAUGAUAUGGGAGAAACUCACUGGAGCAUUAAAAGAAAAAUAUCCUUCAAGAGGGCAAGUAGAGAAAGAAUGGCAUUGUAUUAGAUAACAUAUUUUCAUGAGAGCAAAAUUUCACUCAUAAAUUUGUUAAAUGGAUGUACAAUCCUGAAAAAGAAGUUGAAGGGGGUUCUCAAAGCUGACUAGCUUUUACUGGUAUGAUAAGACUCCUCAUUUGGAAAAAAAAUACAGCAGCUAUAAAAUAUUUUCAAUCAGGAAUAAAAUAAGAUGAAUAAAGUAAAUAAGUUAAUUUGCAGGCAAAAACUAACUCCUUGGUUAUGGACAUAGUUUGCAUGGAAAGACUACAUCCAAGACCUAGAAGAAUAUGUGCACACAUGUAUGAGUUUCAAGAUUCAUCACAGGGCUACCUCCUCUCAAAUUCCUACAGAGGACAUAUAUGAGACUCAGUCUUCAUGGGGAAACAACUGAAAGUAUUCUCUGUGCAAUAAUUUAUCUGAGAAGUUACGUAAACAAUAUCCAAAUUGACAGGAUCUUUUGUGGAAAAAUCAGGCAUUCAAGGAUAAAAUCCAAGUCAGUAUAUCGCAGAGUAGGAUGUGGGACCACAGGGAUCCACUAUGGCUUAAGAGAGGGAUGAUGCCAGGAGAGCCACUUUGAAUUAUGGUGGUAGAAAAUGAAAAGAAUGGAGAGUAUUGUGCCAAUGAGAAUUUAAAAAGUGAGGGUGCUAUUUUCCUCUAAAUUUUAGAGAGAAAUAAAGGUUUCUGUGAUUCUUAACAAGGUAUCCCUUGCAGAGCUGACUGCCAAAGUAGUGUUUUCCACAGGAGGCAAGUGAAUACCCCAUGAAAUUGGGGCUUAAAAUGUUUUCACCGUGUGACUCUAGAAGCUGUUCCUUCUACCCAAAGUAUCCCCUUACUGGAAAUGAAACAAGGCAGGGGUCUGGAAAAGUGAUACAUUCUACAUUUUUUCCAGUCUACAAAUUCAUUGGUAAUUGAACAGAACAUUUGGAAUUUCUACUGUUUUAGAGAUCUUUAUUUUAUUCAAAGGAAGAAAGCAGCCCAUGGUGUUAGAAGAGC
ensembl:lncRNA